CAAAUUGAGAGUUUGAUCCUGGCUCAGGAUGAACGCUGGCGGCGUGCCUAAUACAUGCAAGUCGAACGCAUAGCGAAAGGUGCUUGCACCUUUCAAGUGAGUGGCGAACGGGUGAGUAACACGUGGACAACCUGCCUCAAGGCUGGGGAGUAACAUUUGGAAACAGAUGCUAAUACCGA
rnacentral:rRNA from 1 species